rnacentral:rRNA from 1 species
UUCGGGAGGCAGCAGUGAGGAAUUUUGCGCAAUGGGGGAAACCCUGACGCAGCAACGCCGCGUGAGUGAAGAAGGCCUUGGGGUCGUAAAGCUCUGUCGACAGGGAAGAAGUUAGUGUUUUUUAAUAGGAGAUAUUAUUGACGGUACCUGUAGAGGAAGCACCGGUUAACUUCGUGCCAGCAGCCGCGGUAAUACGGGGGGAGCAAGCGUUAUUCGGAAUUAUUGGGCGUAAAGGGCGCGUAGGCGGUUUUGUCGGUCAGAUGUGAAAGCCCAGGGCUCAACCCUGGAAGUGCAUUUGAAACAGCAAGACUUGAAUAUGGGAGAGGAAAGCGGAAUUCCUGGUGUAGAGGUGAAAUUCGUAGAUAUCAGGAGGAACACCGAUGGCGAAGGCAGCUCUCUGGACAGAUAUUGACGCUGAGGCGCGAAUUGCGUGGGUAGCGAACACGAUUAGAUACCCUAUAGUCCACGUUGCCCUCGUUUCACUAGGUGUGUCGGAUAUUAAAAUCUUCUUGCCCCAG